rfam:Crassostrea gigas strain 05x7-T-G4-1.051#20 contig24359, whole genome shotgun sequence.
GCCUGGGUAGUUCAGCGGUAGAGCUCCUGACUAGAGUUGCAGGGGUUCCGGGUUCGAUUCCCGGUCCAGCCA